ensembl:lncRNA
GGUGAGGCACCUUGCCCAUUUACAAACGAGAAAGGUUCAAUGCUCUGGUGACUCUGUGCAAAGGCAGAAUGGUUCUUGGGUGAAAAAUCAAUGUUGCUGUUCCCUGCAAAAAUAUUACUAAUGCCUUGAACAAACACGUCUCUCCAAAGAGUCCUGAACAGUCACUGCAUUUCUCCUACUCGGUUCUCAUCCCUUUUUCAUUAGUCUUACCAUCUCCCUCCAUGGGCAGGCGAGCGGGAGGUCUUCCACGAGAAAGCAGGCGAGGCAGGCUGGGCCGCCAGGCUGGGCUCAUGAACGGACCAGGAGGAAUGUCACCCGGCUGCCCCAAGGCCACGAGGGUCCUGAGGCGUAACUGGUGCGAGAGUGAAAAAGAAAAAAGGCCAAGACCAGGAGAGGACAAAGCCGAUGCGCUCAUUAGGAGAGAGAGGGACGCUCGCUGCCACUGUGGAUGUGUAACUCCCAGACAGCAAAGACCAAAAGCUGUCUUGGGCUGAGGCAGCCUUGGGAACGAGAAACAGUGUUGCUGGGGGUCAGAUGGGGGACACACAGCCUAAAAUUAAGCGGAGUCAACUGCCACACAUCCCCUCACUGAAUCCAGAAAGUCGAACCCUUAUUGUAACUGAACACUAAAAAUCGUUAAACCUCUUUCGGUUGAUCGAUUUGUCCCCUGAAGCCAAUUUAUACUAUGGUAAUUCCAUCGCCGGCCCUGAAUGGGGCUCUGAGCAAUUACCACCUGACCUGCUGACCUCCGCUAACAAGACUGCUGUGAAAACAUAUUCCUCCCUGACAAGACAGGAUCCAAGGUUGCAUUUGGCGGCAGGCACUCUUUUCGUGUUAUGUUGGCUCAGCGCGGUCCGUCCUCUUUCCUCCACUGGCCCAGCGAGGUCCGUCCUCUUUCCUCCACUGGUUUGAAAACAUGUCACAGGACCGUGUCUCACGACAAUGCCAGAAUACUGCAGUGGGUUGCCAUGCCCUCCUCCAGAGGAUCUUCC